rnacentral:tRNA from 1 species
UAUAUUUUAGUAUAAGAUGUACUUAAAUUUUUGAUAUUUAAAGAAGUAGUUUAAUUCUGCUAAAUAUAG